rnacentral:rRNA from 1 species
GACGAACGCUGGCGGCGUGCUUAACACAUGCAAGUCGAACGGAAAGGCCCUGCUUUUGUGGGGUGCUCGAGUGGCGAACGGGUGAGUAACACGUGAGUAACCUGCCCUUGACUUUGGGAUAACUUCAGGAAACUGGGGCUAAUACCGGAUAGGAGCUCCUGCUGCAUGGUGGGGGUUGGAGAGUGUCGGCGGUUGGGGAUGGACUCGCGGGUUAUCAGCUUGUUGGUGUGGUAGUGGCUUACCAAGGGUUUGACGGGUAGCCGGCCUGGGAGGGUGACCGGCCACAUUGGGACUGCGAUACGGACCAGACUCCUACGGGAGGCAGUAGUGGGGAAUAUUGCACAAUGGGCGGAAGCCUGAUGCAGAAACGCCGCGUGCGGGAUGACGGCCUUCGGGUUGUAAACCGCUUUCGCCUGUGACGAAGCGUGAGUGACGGUAAUGGGUAAAGAAGCACCGGCUAACUACGUG